GGAACAUCCCAGAUGCAGACGAUGUUGCUUUUUAGAGGCCACUGGUUGUCGCUCCUCAGCAGAUUAAUGAGUAUGUCAGCUGACUAAAGGUGUGUUUUAAUACAGUUUUCCAGCCCUCUGCAGAUAUAGUCUUUCAUUAGACUCGAGGAGAUAGAGCACCCUCUAUCUCUCUCUUUCAUGAGUUGUGGAUCUUCCCUUGGACGCCCCUCUCUGGAGUUCCUGGGCUUUUAUCCAUGUCAACCAUUAGACGUCAUCAUCUGGCCGACUCCUCCUCUCCACCUUUGUGCAGGCCUCAUCAGUGACGUAGCCCUUCGCAGUGCCAGUGUUGCUCUCUUCCACGGGCUCUUGACCUGCUGUCUUUCACUGGUGAUCUGUGUUUCUCCCCUUCAUCUGUUUUUAGGUUUUUCUGCUCAACUUUCCUGUAAGUGACAAGAUGCCGCUGUGGGAUCAACCCUGUCACUAUUCAAAACCCUGAUUCCUGAAAUAUCAGAAGAAGGAUUACACACAUUCUGACCAGUAUCAAGGGGAGGACAGUGUGUGGUGCCCCCAGUGGAGGAUGAAGAAGCACUCAGCCCGAGUGGCUCCUCUCAGCUCAUACAGCACUCAGGUCCUGACCUGCCCUAACUUUGAAGCCUCCUGGUAGCAGUGUAAUGGUAAUGGAGUGUGUAAAUGGAGAAUCGUGUGCCUGCGGGACUGUCGAUCGAAGACGCUGAAGAUAUCUACCUAUUCGGAACCAUGAUAACAGGGUUCUUGCUGAUCGGAGCUGGCUUGGCCCUGGCUUAUCGAAGAAUUAAGAAAGCGGAACCGGCUGUUCAAACCCCCACAAGGCUGCCCGCUGGGAUUGAAAUGAUGGGACGAGGCGUGACUUCUCAGAAUGGGCUCAUUGAGUGCAGCACGGAUAAGAUCUUGGAGAAGCUUACGGCUGCCGUGAACACUCAGAAUAACACCUCUGAGCGCAAAUUGGAUCACAUCUUGGACCAGCUCACUGCGUUCGUGAGUUCUCAGAAUCUGCUCUUUGAGCACAAGAAUGACAAGACCACGGAGCACAAGUUUGAUAACAUCAUGGAGAAGCUCACGGCUCUCCAACGGGAGAUUGAGAGACCAGUGUCGGACUGUUAAGAAGAGCUUUGAAAUUAUGAGUUGUUCGCACUAAAGAAAACCACCAUCAUAAUGUGGCUAUCCCUUCGGCGCCAGCUGCGGGCUCAAGGCUGGAGCUGAACAAAAACUCCCUGAUAACGACUGUGUUUAGACUGUUCUUCCCAUUCCAAGCAAGGCCACCUGGGUUGGCUGGAAGACUGUUUACUUAGCCUGGCAGGGCGAAGGACACUGUCUCAGCUGAACUCUGGACACGCACACACAUACACAUACACAUACACUGAUAAGCACUCACUCAUCCCCCCCUUUCCAAACGCCUUCGAUGCUUGUUCCCUCCUAGAGAACAUGACAGGUCUGGGCCCGCGCUGGGAUGGCGGCGCAGUGGCAGGAUGGCUGCUGUGUUUGCUUAGGAUUACUCCUCACCCCCUACCCAACCCUGUGGCUUGUCACAUGCUCCAUAAUGUUGUGCUGUGGACAUUCAUGUGCUUUCUGUGCAGAGGAGUUUUUUUGUUUCCUGUUCUUAUGCUGUCCUCCCAUAGGAGCCCGGCAUGAGUAGAGGUCUCUUUUUUUCCUCUUGUACUUUCCCAUUGUAGUGUACAUUUCAGUGGUUUUCUGUAAUGUUACCGAUCUCCGACCUGUAUCCCCAUGUGAUGUCUGCGUUGUGUGUGUAAGUUCGGGGGGCGGGUCCAUUCCACUGCAGGGCAACCUGCAUGUGGCGAAUAAAGCUGAUUGACUGACUUGACUAAAGCAUGGUAGCGGGCCUGUUGUUGUUCCCCCUCAUCUGAUUAAACAUUUUAGCCCCCCCACCUUUAACUCUGUAAACAGAGAUUACUGUGAUGCCACUAAUUAACUUUUCAUCAGGAUCAUGAUAUCCAUGUCUCAUCUUCAGGCCUAAUAUAGAUAAAGACUUAAUGCGUUUUGACCUGUGCUAAGCUGGCUAAAAACUGCAGACAAGACUAUGGUCGUGUCCAAAUUCAUGGGCUGCAUCCUCCUGAGGCCGCAUUUGUAGACCGAUUACGUCACAGCAACACGCCGAGGCUGUCCAAAUUCGUAGACUCCUCUGAAUGCAAAUGCGUCUUCCUUUUCCCCGAAUUUGAAGGUUGGGUCGGGUGUAUCUUUCGUGGCCCACCAUAUCCCAGAAUUCAUAGCGCGGCCCAGCCAACUCCAGUUUCGAGCAAUGGCGGCCGCUAGUAAGUUUUAAUAUUACUCUUAUUAAUCUUUCUGUGUCACAAAAUAAACUUUUAACACAUUUUCAGGCAAGAAUGUAGCUGUGUAAACUUCAAAUAUCUGCGCGGUUUAUCAAGAAAUCACAUAUUUGCAAAAGUGCUCCGACGUUUACGGCGAGGUCUGUUAUCCACCAGCUCGAUAGCUAGCCAGGAGCUUGAGGGUCACUAGAGCCGCUGAGAACGGCAAACUCCCAGCACAUCAUUUUCAGAUCAGAUUUUCUGUUUUCCCUGAUAGGGGUAUUCCUUGUGUCACUCAAGAAUGCGAGUUUGAUUGAUGACCUUUUGGCCUGAUCUUUUGACCUUACCGGAAGUACUUCGGAAGUGGGAAGCGUGAUUAAUCAAAACCAGAUGUGUGGCUAAUCGAGAUGCAUGACGAAUUGCGUCCGAUGACAAAGAAAAAUUAUGUUUGUAAAGAGAGGGAGGGAGGGGGUCGUACCUGGGGCACAGGUUUGAGGAAAGUUCAGGGGGGAGUCAGUGGAAAUCAGAUCGCAUACAGCUGUAUAGAGAGAGACAGAGAAUUUACAACUUUUUAAAAGAGAGAGAGAGAGAGAGAGCAAAUCGAUCAAACUUUUCUACAGCACGUUAUACCACUCCGGGUCGAGAGGAGCGAUAUAGCAUGGACCGGUUGAAUGACUAUGUCGGAUUGAAGCAUGACCGAAAGCGUGGCAGGGACUUUCCCUUUGAACUUCUUCCUGUUCCAUGAUUAACCUCCAACUGUUAAAUGUUUCCUCAAUAUUGCUGUAAGUAACAACAAAGUUAGUUUUUUAGGAUCAGACAGGGGUCCAGUCCCAAAACUUUCCUUAUACAUUCCCACAGACUUGAGCUGUCACUGAAUUAGCAUCUGUGGGACAAAUAAGCUUCAGGGACUGACUUGCCUUUUAGAACCGACCUUACGAGGCCUUUAGAGGCCUUUUAAUUUUUACCCAAAGAGAAAUUUGAUCCUCACAAACUAAUAUCAGAUAAAACAAAAAACAAAAACAUGAUACUGUUUAGUUGUGAUGAACAGUAACCACUUACCUCAACUUUGAUGGGUUUUUUUUCUCAGCUAUUUAUUCUGCACAGAGCGUUUCUGGUGUGGCUUAUGCAAAAGAGAAUUGCAACAACACAGCAUGUUUCUCUUCUCCCUUUCACACAGCUCAUCCGAGACAAUCGUAUCCAGUGGUGUGGUGGCCAUGGAUUGAGCCAGCCCUGCAAACCCUGUGGAUGGACGAUGCAGUGGACAGUGGGAGGAAGCAUCCUGAAGCUCUCUUUGCAGACCACUGUGUGUGAUUCUCCACUCGCCGACCAGAAAAGACAAACGGCAGGUCUCAGUUGCAGCACCUCAUCCAUCCAUGUCUGAUCCUGCAUCGGCAGAUUCAGCAACACAGCCAGAGACUUCCUGUAAUCUAUUACAGUUGUUAAAAAAAAAAAAAACGGUCCAGGAACAGGUCACUCAGGUUAAUCCUGUAUAAACAACUGUAAAUAUCGUUUUUUCUUCUUUAAAUAUUGUUGGCUUAUUAGAAAUAUUCUUGUUCAAUUGUUGUUGUUAUUUACUUUAUUGCCAUCAAAUAAAUAUCCAUGUAAAAUUGUCCAAAGUUAGCAUUAUGUUCAUACAUGUUAAAAAUACCUGAAAAUAAAAUGAGUUCAGUGACAGUUAGUGUUUGUUGUAGUCAAUUUAUUAAUAACAAAAAAACUUUUAAACUAAUGCAACACAUAUAACAAUGUCACAAAAUAUUCAAAUAAAUACAUUUCUUAAUGCAUAACUGAUUUUGGAUCUGAUCUUUCAAGAAGUGAAAGUCUGUCCAUCCUCUCACUGAUCGAAUCGAUCGAUUCGGGACCUUGUGAAUCUGAAUCGAAGCCCAACUCGUCUCCACCAAACGCG
ensembl:lncRNA